CUUAUCUUUCUUCUUCUUUCCUCUUCUGCUCCUCUUCUCCUCCGUUCUUUUUCUGUUAAUUUCGAGAGAUGAAGGUGAGUUGUUUUUUAUAUGAGCGAUUCUUAAUAAGCUUAAGGGAGAAGGUGACGCUGAUGCUGUGUAUUGGGUUUUAGAAGAAGCAGAAAAGGUUACUAUUUAUUAACAACGAUCGAUUCAAAAGACGAACCAGUAGAUUGUAUAUCUCGUGGUAGGCGUGGCUUGUCAUCAAAACAGUAAUCAGAAAGAAUGGAGCGCGCGAAGAUAUCCGUUUUCGUAGCUUAGGACUAUACCGAAUUUAGUGUUGUUAUGUAUCUUUAUUAUAUGUAUUCUUUCUUUACUCUGUAAAACAACACUUUUAUAUAAUUAUAAACAUGAGAGACUUUCAUACA